AUGACCGGCUUGCUUGAGAAGUUGGUUGAGGGGUGGACGUCCCUUAAUGGCUUCGACAGCGACGCGGUUGCGAGGCAGUUCACUACAUUUGUCCCAGAACGGACACAUCGGCCAACUGGUUGCCGUGGCCGAUAUGACUACAACAGUUCCCAAGAGCUUGCUGACACACAAGAUGAACUAGAUGGAGAUGCUGGUCUCAGCAAGGAUGACGACAAUGACAUGGAGAACGUGCAACAGGACACCGAUGAUGAUGAACAUGUUGAAGUUCGUGCAGGUGGUAAGAAGGGCAAGGAUGCACGAGAUGUCCCCCCACCGGAUAAAGUCAAAGAACAUACGGCUGCGAGAGGCGAUGGGGUGUUGCCAUCAAAGAGGGGGGGGCUCCAGAGGAUGUUGGGUAGGGUUCUCCUGGCAAGAGGUCUAGGACCGAUCCCGUAG
rnacentral:rRNA from 1 species